rnacentral:rRNA from 1 species
CCCUUAGACGUUCUGGGCCGCACGCGCGCUACACUGACCAGUGCAACAAGCAUCCGUCCUUGGCCGACAGGCUCGGGCAAUCUUUGAACGCUGGUCGUGAUGGGGAUAGACUUUUGCAAUUUUUGGUCUUCAACGAGGAAUUCCUAGUAAACGCAAGUCAUCAACUUGCAUUGAUUACGUCCCUGCCCUUUGUACACACCGCCCGUCGCACCUAUCGAUUGAAUGGUCCGGUGAAGCCUCCGGAUUGGCGCGCACCUCGGUGCCGCCGAGAAGUUGGCUAAACCUUACCAUUUAGAGGAAGGUGAAGUCGUAACA